AGAAAUUGUUGGAUUUUAAGGAAUCAAGCAAGUAAAGGUAUAGGUGGUGAGCCCCCUGGUAAGAGUAAGGAUAUCGUACCCGAGAACCAAGAAUAGGAGUACUCCAUACUCCCGUUAAGGUGGUGAGUCCUCCGAUAAAGGCAAGGAAAUUGCAUCCGAG